CGGCGGACGGGUUAGUAACGCGCUGGGAACGUGCCCAGAUCUACGGGAUAGCCACUGGAAACGGUGAGUAAUACCGUAUACGCCCUUCGGGGGAAAGAUUUAUCGGAUUUGGAUCGGCCUGCGUUAGAUUAGGUAGUUGGUGGGGUAACGGCCUACCAAGCCUACGAUCUAUAGCUGGUUUUAGAGGAUGAUCAGCAACACUGGGACUGAGACACGGCCCAGACUCCUACGGGAGGCAGCAGUGGGGAAUCUUGGACAAUGGGGGCAACCCUGAUCCAGCCAUGCCGCGUGAGUGAAGAAGGCCCUAGGGUCGUAAAACUCUUUCGCCUGUGAUGAUAAUGACAGUAGCAGGUAAAGAAACCCCGGCUAACUCCGUGCCAGCAGCCGCGGUAAUACGGAGGGGGUUAGCGUUGUUCGGAAUUACUGAGCGUAAAGCGCACGUAGGCGGAUUAGAAAGUUAGAGGUGAAAUCCCGGGGCUCAACCCCGGAACUGCCUUUAAAACUACUAGUCUAGAGUUCGAGAGAGGUGAGUGGAAUUCCGAGUGUAGAGGUGAAAUUCGUAGAUAUUCGGAGGAACACCAGUGGCGAAGGCGGCUCACUGGCUCGAUACUGACGCUGAGGUGCGAAAGUGUGGGGAGCAAACAGGAUUAGAUACCCUGGUAG
rnacentral:rRNA from 1 species